rnacentral:rRNA from 1 species
AGAGUUUGAUCAUGGCUCAGGAUGAACGCUAGCUACAGGCUUAACACAUGCAAGUCGAGGGGAAACGACAUCGAAAGCUUGCUUUUGAUGGGCGUCGACCGGCACACGGGUGAGUAACGCGUAUCCAACCUGCCCACCACUUGGGGAUAACCUUGCGAAAGUAAGACUAAUACCCAAUGACGUCUCUAGAAGACAUCUGAAAGGGAUUAAAGAUUUAUCGGUGGUGGAUGGGGAUGCGUCUGAUUAGCUUGUUGGCGGGGUAACGGCCCACCAAGGCUACGAUCAGUAGGGGUUCUGAGAGGAAGGUCCCCCANAUUGGAACUGAGACACGGUCCAAACUCCUACGGGAGCA